CCAGACUCCUACGGGAGGCAGCAGUGGGGAAUAUUGCACAAUGGGCGCAAGCCUGAUGCAGCCAUGCCGCGUGUAUGAAGAAGGCCUUCGGGUUGUAAAGUACUUUCAGUCGGGAGGAAGGUGGUAAGGUUAAUAACCUUAUCAAUUGACGUUACCGACAGAAGAAGCACCGGCUAACUCCGUGCCAGCAGCCGCGGUAAUACGGAGGGUGCAAGCGUUAAUCGGAAUUACUGGGCGUAAAGCGCACGCAGGCGGUCUGUCAAGUCGGAUGUGAAAUCCCCGGGCUCAACCUGGGAACUGCAUUCGAAACUGGCAGGCUGGAGUCUUGUAGAGGGGGGUAGAAUUCCAGGUGUAGCGGUGAAAUGCGUAGAGAUCUGGAGGAAUACCGGUGGCGAAGGCGGCCCCCUGGACAAAGACUGACGCGCAGGUGCGAAAGCGUGGGGAGCAAACAGGAUUAGAUACCCGUGUAAG
rnacentral:rRNA from 1 species